GUGAAUCCUUAGUUGAGUUUUGUAAAUAAACUGAGUUAAUUUGGAACUACAGAAUCUCAAGCUUGUUGUGGGGUGACAAAGGCCUGGCUUGGUAUUUUUUUUACUGACAGUCUAUGGUUCAAUAAUUUUCUUUUCUUUCCAAUUCAUAUUUAAUCAGAAAUAUUUUUCUUCCUGGUAGUUUCCCACUGGAGGAGACAAAGAGUGGGAACUCAAUUAUUCAAAAGUCUUCAGAUCCCUAAGGACUAGAACCUGAGUGAAGAUGUAAAGAUUUGUUGACCCAAAUCUUCCAAUUCUGGAUGAGAAGAGGUCAGGAAGACUUUCCAAAAAGACUUCAAGGUUUCUACAUGGUCUCAUGUAGGAAAACUACCAUAUCAAGUCUUACCAAUGGAUUGUAAUCAAAGAAUACCCAAGUAUUUACAUCAUAAAGGUUAUCAGAAAUUGAAGAGAAAAUGCGAACAAUUACUACCAGCAAAAAUGAACCAGGAUAUAAUCAGAUACGUUUAAGAACUUCUGUUCAGCUUUUGGAUCAGACCUGAG
ensembl:lncRNA